UAUGGCCAUACAACGUUGAAACAACGGUUCACGUCCGAUCACCGAAGUUAAGUUACGUCGAGCCUGGUCAGCAUCUGUAUGCGUGAUCGCUUGGGAAUAUAAGUAG